GAUGAACGCUGGCGGCGUGCCUAAUACAUGCAAGUCGAGCGAACGGACGAGAAGCUUGCUUCUCUGAUGUUAGCGGCGGACGGGUGAGUAACACGUGGAUAACCUACCUAUAAGACUGGGAUAACUUCGGGAAACCGGAGCUAAUACCGGAUAAUAUUUUGAACCGCAUGGUUCAAAAGUGAAAGACGGUCUUGCUGUCACUUAUAGAUGGAUCCGCGCUGCAUUAGCUAGUUGGUAAGGUAACGGCUUACCAAGGCAACGAUGCAUAGCAGACCUGAGAGGGUGAUCGGCCACACUGGAACUGAGACACGGUCCAGACUCCUACGGGAGGCAGCAGUAGGGAAUCUUCCGCAAUGGGCGAAAGCCUGACGGAGCAACGCCGCGUGUGUGAUGAAGGUCUUCGGAUCGUAAAACUCUGUUAUUAGGGAAGAACAUAUGUGUAAGUAACUGUGCACAUCUUGACGGUACCUAAUCAGAAAGCCACGGCUAACUACGUG
rnacentral:rRNA from 1 species